AACGAACGCUGGCGGCAUGCUUAACACAUGCAAGUCGAACGGGACGGCCGGGUUUAGUGGCGCACGGGGGCGUGACGCGGGGGAACCUGCCCGUAGGUUCGGAACAACUCCCCGUAAGGGGUGCUAAUACCGGAGGAGGUCUUCGGUCCAACGAGUUGUCGCCGUUGGGUGGGGCUGCGUCUGUUUAGCCGGUUGGUAGGGUAAAAGCGGAUCAUGGGGACGAUGCAUGGGUGGUCUGAGAGGAUGCUCAGCCACUGUGGGACUGCGACGCGGCCUAGGCUCCGCCGGGGGGCAGCAGUGGGGAAUAUUGGACGAUGGGCGAUAGAGUGAUCCCGCGAUGCCGCGUAAGUGAUGAAGGCCUUAGGGUUGUAAAGCUCUUUUACCCGGGAUGAUGAUGACAGUGGCGGGAGAAGCACCUCCUGCUAACGUC
rnacentral:rRNA from 1 species